rnacentral:rRNA from 1 species
ACAUGCAANUCGAGCGGCAGCGCGGGGCAACUNUGUNCGGCGAGUGGCNACACGGGUGAGUAAUAUAUCGGAACGUGCCCUAGAGUGGGGGAUAACUAGUCGAAAGAUUAGCUAAUACCGCAUACGAUCUACGGAUGAAAGUGGGGGAUCGCAAGACCUCAUGCUCAUGGAGCGGCCGAUAUCUGAUUAGCUAGUUGGUAGGGUAAAAGCCUACCAAGGCAUCGAUCAGUAGCUGGUCUGAGAGGACGACCAGCCACACUGGGACUGAGACACGGCCCAGACUCCUACGGUAGUUUUUUUUUUGGGGAAUCUUGCACAUUGGGCGAAAGCCUGACGCAGCGACGCCGCGUGGAGGAUGAA